AUACACAUGCAGUCGAACGGUAACAGGAAGCAGCUUGCUGCUUUGCUGACGAGUGGCGGACGGGUGAGUAAUGUCUGGGAAACUGCCUGAUGGAGGGGGAUAACUACUGGAAACGGUAGCUAAUACCGCAUAACGUCGCAAGACCAAAGAGGGGGACCUUAGGGCCUCUUGCCAUCGGAUGUGCCCAGAUGGGAUUAGCUAGUAGGUGGGGUAACGGCUCACCUAGGCGACGAUCCCUAGCUGGUCUGAGAGGAUGACCAGCCACACUGGAACUGAGACACGGUCCAGACUCCUACGGGAGGCAGCAGUGGGGAAUAUUGCACAAUGGGCGCAAGCCUGAUGCAGCCAUGCCGCGUGUAUGAAGAAGGCCUUCGGGUUGUAAAGUACUUUCAGCGGGGAGGAAGGGAGUAAAGUUAAUACCUUUGCUCAUUGACGUUACCCGCAGAAGAAGCACCGGCUAACUCCGUGCCAGCAGCCGCGGUAAUACGGAGGGUGCAAGCGUUAAUCGGAAUUACUGGGCGUAAAGCGCACGCAGGCGGUUUGUUAAGUCAGAUGUGAAAUCCCCGGGCUCAACCUGGGAACUGCAUCUGAUACUGGCAAGCUUGAGUCUCGUAGAGGGGGGUAGAAUUCCAGGUGUAGCGGUGAAAUGCGUAGAGAUCUGGAGGAAUACCGGUGGCGAAAGCGGCCCCCUGGACGAAGACUGACGCUCAAGUGCGAA
rnacentral:rRNA from 1 species